rnacentral:rRNA from 1 species
GACGAACCGUGCGAACGUUGUUCGGAAUCACUGGGCUUAAAGGGCGCGUAGGCGGGCUCACAAGUCAGGGGUGAAAUCCCACGGCUCAACCGUGGAAGUGCCUUUGAUACUGUGGGUCUUGAGGGAGGUAGGGGCGUGCGGAACUUCCGGUGGAGCGGUGAAAUGCGUAGAUAUCGGAAGGAACACCGGUGGCGAAGGCGGUCUUCUGGACGGUGACUGACGCUGAGGCGCGAAAGCGUGGGGAGCAAACGGG